rnacentral:rRNA from 1 species
ACCGGCGCACGGGUGAGUAACACGCAUCCAACCUGCCGAUGACUCGGGGAUAGCCUUUCGAAAGAAAGAUUAAUACCCGAUGGCAUAGUUCUUCCGCAUGGUAGAACUAUUAAAGAGUUUCGGUCAUCGAUGGGGAUGCGUUCCAUUAGGUUGUUGGCGGGGUAACGGGCCCACCAAGCCUUCGAUGGAUAGGGGUUCUGAGAGGAAGGUCCCCCACAUUGGAACUGAGACACGGUCCAAACUCCUACGGGAGGCAGCAUG